GAUGAACGCUGGCGGCGUGCUUAACACAUGCAAGUCGAACGAUGAAGCCCAGCUUGCUGGGUGGAUUAGUGGCGAACGGGUGAGUAACACGAGAGUAACCUGCCCUUAACUCUGGGAUAAGCCUGGGAAACUGGGUCUAAUACCGGAUAGGAGCGUCCACCGCAUGGUGGGUGUUGGAAAGAUUUAUCGGUUUUGGAUGGACUCGCGGCCUAUCAGCUUGUUGGUGAGGUAAUGGCUCACAAAGGCGACGACGGGUAGCCGGCCUGAGAGGGUGACCGGCCACACUGGGACUGAGAAACGGCCCGGACUCCACCGGGAGGCAGCAGGGGGGAAGAUUGCACAAUGGGCGCAAGCCGGAUGCAGAGACGCCGCGUGAGGGAUGACGGCCUUCGGGUUGUAAACCUCUUUCAGUAGGGAAGAAGCGAAAGUGACGGUACCUGCAGAAGAAGCACCGGCUAACUACGUG
rnacentral:rRNA from 1 species